rnacentral:tRNA from 1 species
UCUUGGUUAGCUCAGUUGGUAGAGCGCUCCACUGGCAAUGAAGAGGUCCCAAGUUCGACACCAGGAC